GACCGUGCAAAGGUAGCAUAAUCAUUUGCCUUAUAAUUGAAGGCUUGUAUGAAUGGUUUGACAAGAAUGAAGCUGUCUCUUUACAAUUAACUAAAAUUUUAUUUAUAGGUGAAGAAACCUAUAUUGUAUUGAAAGACAAGAAGACCCUAUCGAGCUUAAAAAGAAUUAGUAAAAUAAAAAAUUAAUAUUGGUAUAUAAAUUUUGUUAUUAAGUUAUUUUAGUUGGGGCGACUGAGGAACAAAUAAAGCUUCCUUUAUAAUAUUAAUACUCUCAAGUAUUGAUCCAAAUAUUUUGAUUAAGGGAAUUAGUUACCGUAGGGAUAACAGCAUAAUCUUUUUUGAGAGCUCUAAUCGAAAAAAAGGUUUGUGACCUCGAUGUUGGACCAGAAUAUCCUAAAGAUGUAGCCGUCUUUAAAGGUUGGUCUGUUCGACCAUUAAAAUUCUACGUGAUCUGAGUUCAGACCGGCGUAAGCCAGGUCAGUUUCUAUCUUCAAUUUUUAUAAUGAAUUUAGUACGAAAGGACCAAUAUCAUUGUAAGAUAUUUACUUUGUUUGAUAAUAUAUAAAGUGUAAUUAAGUUAAUUACAAAAAUUUAAGCUAAAAUCAAAUUAGCAAAGAUUUAAUGCAAUUGACUUAGGAUCAAUAGACAUAGGUGAAAUUCCUUUAUUUGAUAUAUAAAGGUGGCAGAUGAA
rnacentral:rRNA from 1 species